rnacentral:rRNA from 1 species
AACGUAGGAGCCAAACGUUAUCCGGAGUUACUGGGCGUAAAGGGCGUGUAGGUGGUUUCGUAAGUCUGGCGUGAAAUAUCUCGGCUUAACCGAGGCAGGUCGUCGGAUACUGCGGAACUAGAGGACGGUAGAGGCGUGUGGAAUUCCGGGUGUAGCGGUGGAAUGCGUAGAGAUCCGGAGGAAGACCGGUGGCGAAGGCGGUCUGCUGGGCAGUUUCUGACACUGAGGCGCGACAGCGUGGGGAGCAAACAGG